rnacentral:siRNA from 1 species
GAUGUGUAAGAGCCGACACGUGU